ensembl:lncRNA CTBP1-DT CTBP1 divergent transcript
GCCCGAAAGUCCCUUCAGGGAGAGGCCGCACUGGGCCUGCUCACCCAGGGGCUGCCCCUGCAGACUCUCCCGAGGGGCCCAGGGAUAUUCCUCGCGCCGCGAGUGGACGCUUCCAUCCACCCCAUGGGGAGGGCCUCUGCGCGUGGCUACUCUGAGCCCUCUGGAAUGCCGAGAUAGUUGCAUAAUUUCAGAAACCACGGCAUGGAGACGGAAUGAUGCAGACUCCUAUCCGCGAGAUACCUGCUGUAAUUUCGCUGUGGUUCGUGAGGACGCGUCCUGGGCUGCCCUGAGAAGCCUACGUCUCCCCUUCGAGGCCCGGGAAGACCUCCAACCCCGCUGACAAUGCUGGGCCCUCAGCCAGACCUGCCCUGCGUGCCACGUUCUGUUCUAAGAUCGGGCUGCCGAGCUGUGGCCUGGAGGAAACCUGGUGGGGCUGCCAUGAGCAGCAAGCUCAGUCCAGAAGAACAGUUCCUCUCCAGGAUCCACUUCCUGCGCACUUUUAUGUGCAGUGUAGCUGGAGCAGAGCUCCCCGGAAUUCCACAGGCAACUGAGAACGGAGAGGGAUGCAGGCCAGCCAGGGAUCCAGCGUCUUCCCCAUCGUCACUCUCCAUGGCCUCCGUCUACACACAGUGUUCGUCUGCACAGCUUGUCAGCGCGUUAUCAUGACUUCUAUUUGGCACCGGCCCGUCUGUCCACUGUCCUGGCUUGUUCCAAGCGCUGCCUUCUCCAACUGGGGUCCUGGCUGCAGAGCUGUCUGCUCCCCACGUUGGGCAACUCCAGCCAAGAUUCCUACACCCAAAUGUGACCGUGUUGCUCACGAAGAAGGCUCAGCUUUGCGUGUGCCCAGCCGUGUGCACAGCUCGUCCCAACUCCUGCGGGUGGCACCUGCCUCUCCCACCUCCAGUCUUUCCCCUGUGAUGAGCAGAUGACCACCGCCCUCCAGGGUCAGCGUUUGGCUGUUUGUGUGCCUGCCCACCCGCCUCCCUGUGCCUGGGCCUGCCCUGUGCCUGCACACAGGAGUGGCUCAUGGCGUUUGCCCUACACGGAUGGGCUGUCCUGGGAGCUACUGGACAGUCACCUUGGUGGGAAUGCCAGAGGCAUGGGCAUUAGGUCCCCCCGGCCAGCCUCCGUUGCCACAUGGGCUAUUUUUGUCCAUCGCGUGGGACAACCUAGUAUUGGGGGAAAACUCAGUCCACUCUAAAGAAGCAUCGGCGUUUUGGAUGGACGAAUGCUGCUUCAUGCGACUCCAUGUCAAUGGACUAUUUUAUUCAACUCGGGUAUUUAUGAGUGUCUCCUCUGUGCCAGCCACGUGUGAAAGAAGAACUCCAAGUUACUGGACACCAGGACAAACCAGGAGUCUCGCUGUGUCACCCAGGCUGGAGUGCAGUGGUGUGAUCUUGGCUUACUGCAACCUCUGCCUCCCAGGUUCAAGUGAUUCUCCUGCCUCAGCCUCCCAAGUACCUGGGACUACAGAUCUUUAGAUAAGCACUCUUUCAACCAAAUGCCAAUCAGAAAAUCUUUGAAUCCACCUGUGAGCUGGAAGCCCCGCUGUGCUUUGUGUUGUCCUGCCUUUUCGGACCAAUGUAAAUCUCACAUGUACUGAUUGAUGCCUACAUCUCCUUAAAACGUAUAAAAUCAAGCUGUAACCCAA